rnacentral:rRNA from 1 species
CGGGGGGGGCAAGCGUUGUUCGGAAUUACUGGGGCGUAAAAGGGCUCGUAGGCGGCCAACUAAGUCAUGCGUGAAAUCCCUCGGCUUAACCGGGGAACUGCGUCUGAUACUGGAUGGCUUGAGUUCGGGAGAGGGAUGCGGAAUUCCAGGUGUAGCGGUGAAAUGCGUAGAUAUCUGGAGGAACACCGGUGGCGAAGGCGGCAUCCUGGACCGAUACUGACGCUGAGGAGCGAAAGCCAGGGGAGCAAACGGGGAUU